UAUCAAAAACUAAUUACGGUGUCACACUCGACAAUGUUACGCAUGUUUCGACACACACCAGAGGUCAUUCGUGCUCACUUGUUUCCGGAUACUCUUUACUGCACUUCCGGCAUUUGUUUUUUGUGAAAAAAGAAAUAAAAGGCUCAAUAGGUUUCAUUACCUCGAUGAGGACGUACAAAAGGCCUUUGCUCCUGUCUCCAAGUAACAUAUAAUUCUGAUAAUAGAGACAAUCUAUCAAUUCUUGUAAAAUGUUUUUCGUUAAAUGAUUGUCUAGAUAGGAAAGAUCUUAUUUUAGAAUUUGUAUUACUCGGUCGUGGAUGUUUAUGCAUUUCUGGAAAAUUUAGAGAUGCAUAAAAUGCACGGAAUAUUCAUAUAAUAUGUAAAUAUGUACGUAUAAGAUAAAAAUAAUUAAUAAUUUAUUUAGUUUCUAGUCAGGUUCGUAGAAGCAUGAAUUUGCAUAAAAUACGUAAUCUAUUAAUUAUCUAACGUAUUAAUAAAUCGAAGGUAAUAAUCACAGCUUAAAUCUAAGUACUGCAAUUUCAAAUUUCCUGUCGCCAUCAUCUCUCCAUUCAUCGGAAAGCUUUCUUUCCUAUGAGGAUGGCACGUUUCAUAUCCCAGUGUCGUUCUGAUUUUCUGUACAUGUAAAGCAAUGGAUAUUAUCCAUGAAAAAAUAAAUGGAUAUCCUCGGUAGCUGUAAAACUAAACAAUUGCUUAUAAAUUUAUAGUUAUUACUUGUAUAGAUUCUGAAUCUGGAAGUGAAAUUCCUUCUUCCUUCGUUUUGAUCGAGGAUUCCUGAAGAUCUGCAAAUAUAUUUUACUCUGUUACAAUAAGUAACAAAAGUAGAACUUUCAUUAAAAUUAUUAGAAAGGUUGUUAAACAAAUAAAAUGACUUUAUUUCUAUGUGAGAGACGAUCAUUUAUUUCUAAUUGUUUUUAAAUAUUAAUAUUAAACAUGGAAAUAAACAAUUCUGAGUAAAAAUGUAACAAUUCUGUUCAGUUUCUAUUUGUACUCCGUUCUUUCCUCAAAAAUUCUCCAUUAAUCGAUUAAUUAAUUAAUUAAUUAAGAAUAUCAAUCAACGUUCUGCUAUACUUGUAAUUUGUACAAGUUACAUUUUUUAGAUCGUCUUGUAAGACUCUGACGUGUUCGAGAUUUCGCGUUCUUCCUCAAUGAUUCCUCGUUUACACUUUUGUCAAUUUCCUCGUCCUUCUUCCUCUCCAUCUAAGUUUUCGUAAUUUUUAGUAAUUGAACGAAGCUGUGAAUUUCAUCCGAGGAAAACAGACGUUUUAAAUAAAUUUCUGAUCAUUACCAAUUCCUCCAUUAACGACAGUUCAGCGAACUUUCUACGACGCAGCUCGACAAUUUCUUCGUACGUCAAGGCAAUUCUAAUUUUAUGAAUUAAAUACGUCGAGUAAAUUUACAUAUUAAUCUGUUGUAAUACUAAUUAGAAUAAUUUAUACAAUGACAAGCAUACAGUAGUAUUAGAAUGCUAUAAUGAAUAUACUUAGAAUCAUUAAAAUACAAUAAUUCUAUACUUCGAGUUAUUGGAAUAAUUUAUACACAUUUUUAUGUACAUUUUGAGCUGCUGUAAUAUUAAAGAUGCGCCUUCAUCGCAUAUCCUGUUUCCAAGUAAAACAAGACACCUCAAAGACCUGCAAAUAUAAAAGUACUAUACUUUAUAUACAAAAAUACGUAAUUAAAGCUAUGUAAUUAAAUAACAUGCGAAAAAUA